UCUGGGACAUCAUCAUGUAUGUAUGUGUGUGCAUGUAUAUAUAUAUAUAUAUAUAUACACACACACAACAUAUAUAUAUUUAUAUAUACAUACAUACACAUAUAUUUAUAUAUAUAUAUAAA
rnacentral:miRNA from 1 species